rnacentral:rRNA from 1 species
UACGUAGGGGGCAAGCGUUGUCCGGAAUCAUUGGGCGUAAAGCGCGUGUAGGCGGCUCAGUAAGUCCGCUCUGAAAGCCCGGGGCUCAACCCUGGGAGGCGGGUGGAUACUGCUGAGCUCGAGUCCGGAAGAGGAGUGUGGAAUUCCUGGUGUAGCGGUGAAAUGCGCAGAUAUCAGGAGGAACACCAAUGGCGAAGGCAGCUCGCUGGGACGUGACUGACGCUGAGACGCGAAAGCGUGGGGAGCAAACAGG